UACGGGAGGCAGCAGUGGGGAAUAUUGCACAAUGGGCGCAAGCCUGAUGCAGCCAUGCCGCGUGUAUGAAGAAGGCCUUCGGGUUGUAAAGUACUUUCAGUCGUGAGGAAGGUGUUAAGGUUAAUAACCUUAGCAAUUGACGUUAGCGACAGAAGAAGCACCGGCUAACUCCGUGCCAGCAGCCGCGGUAAUACGGAGGGUGCGAGCGUUAAUCGGAAUUACUGGGCGUAAAGGGCACGCAGGCGGUUAAUUAAGUUGGAUGUGAAAUCCCCGGGCUUAACCUGGGAAUGGCAUUCAAGACUGGUUAGCUAGAGUCUUGUAGAGGGGGUAGAAUUCCAUGUGUAGCGGUGAAAUGCGUAGAGAUGUGGAGGAAUACCGGGUGGCGAAGGCGGCCCCUGGGACAAAGGACUGACGCUCAUGUGCGAAAGCGUAGGGAGCAAACAGGAUUUAGAUACC
rnacentral:rRNA from 1 species